rnacentral:lncRNA from 1 species
AAGCCCUUUUUUUAGUCAUUUCCAUUUAACAUCUGAUCAUGUUCACACAGAAGCACAUUUGCAGCUGCAGUCUGAUUUCGCAUUUUACACUAACCCACAUUGGAAAGACCCAAGUGAGGAUUUGAACCCUGUAAAACAUUCUUGUCACACUAACUUAUCACUCAGUGUUUCAUCUCUGCUCAUUCUUGGUCUUCAAAAUCCUCACAGUACCUUCCAGUCAAACAACAGGGUCCCAUUGUGAGAAACCUCCAUCAAUCUGGCCCAGUGCUGCAGGGGUUAACUGCUCUAAUUUUAAACUACCAGACAACUACUCUAUUUUGCUGUUAAUAGGAAGCUAUCAAUUGUAAAAGGCCAGCAAACACUGACCCUGGAUACACCCUUAAAACAAGCUCACGCACUCACAGACACACACGAAUCAAACGCUCUGCUCUCGUUGGGACCACCCAGGUACAAGUAGUAAUUACUCCAACAUCUCUGGGUUAAAUCAACAUCCUCAACCCUCAGCAGUACAUCAUCUUUAUAUGAAAGCCCAAGCUUCAUAUAAAAACUCCUAGCAAAUCAUAUGUCAUCCGCUUUUUUAGUGUGUGUGCACAUCCUGAUUUAUAGUUAGCUGACUUUGUAGCAUAUUUCCCCGUAAUGAACAACCAACUUGUCUGUUUAUUUGAAGUCAUUCCAGCUUAUUUUUCUUCCUCUUGCACGUUCUAAAAAUUUAUUGUCAUAUCUAAACAACGCUGCAAUUAUCCCUGCCAUUUGGCUGUGCUGUUAAUGUCUGCAUAAAGCGAUAAUGUGUCUGACAUGCAGCGUGUAUGCCGACAUCUGUUCAUGAGCCACGCAGCGUCCCCUCUGAUAUUCUUUUCCUAUUGUGAUCAUUUUCAAUUGAUUCUUUAUGAGUCAUUUCAGAGCUAAUGGCUUGUGAGUGGCGCGUAGAAGAGGGGACCUUUGGGAGAAGGUGCACAGACUGACAGAGAGAUCAGAGAUGAGACACAAACACAGCAGAGACCGAGAAGGGGGGGGCGAAAGCAGAACCAAGUGAUCAACAAUCUGCUGAAAUUUGUGCAUGAAAGACCCCAAUCACACAGCUCUCAUCCAUGAUUAUAUUCCAAAGUGCCAAUUACAUUGUGUCAGAAAACUACAGCACGAGGUUGACACUCUACAAUAAAGCAAAUAAUUUCCAGUUGGAGGAACAGAAAACGUUAAUAUGAGGGGUGGAAGAUGGGGUGAGGAGGAUCUCGGUUAAAGGAAGUAGCUAAUAAGGUUUAAUGGUGCGUGUCAGGAAGCCACAGUAUGCAGGGGAAACACAGCUGGCUUCAUUUUGUAAACUAUUUGAUAUACACAUCUAUCCCACUCACAAUUAUCAGCUGCUCUUAUACCACUGGGGACAGUUUAGCGACUCCAAUCAGGGGCAUUUUCGACCCACUCUUCAAUUGAAAAAAAGAUAUUUAUGUACUUUGGUGAGGGUGCCCGCUGCUUCUUUUCGAAGAGAUGUAAAAUAAGAGAAAGAAAUAUGUGAAUUUUGUCAAGAUAUUUUUACAAUUAGGUAAUAAAACCCAAACUAAACAUAAACCUGUUAAAAUCCAUUCUCUGAUGGUGGUCCAGGUGAAACGAAAAUGGAUCUUUGCUGGUUGGUGUAGCAUUUCAGGUGAGUAUCUCAUGUCUUAAGUGUCAUUUCAAACUGACAGCGACAUUCAUUAAAGUUAGGAUGUGUGAUGGAGAGCUUAGUGACAGUCUCACUCUGGAGAUUUUAGGAUGUGUAGGGCUAAGGAAGCAGGUGUGUAAGGAGAUAAGGAUCAGGGUGCCCUCAUCUGCUGGCAUCCUGUGAUCUGUGCUACAUCAAAAGCUGCUCGGUAAUGUUUGGAGAUGAGGGGUUAAAUAUACUUGCAUUUCCAAGUUCUCUGUCCAGAUGAGAAUUUUAGUGUUAUUUGUAUCAGCACGGAUGAAACACUGAGCACUGCUGUGAAUCUGUGUGUGUGUGUAUGUUUGUAAUGAGCAGAGGUAUGAGCUUAUUUGAACCCUGAACACGAUGGCUAUCGCAGUCAUGGUAGGUAGGUUGGACUUUGUAUUUCAGAGUCACAGUAAAAUUGAUGGGUUUGAUGUUUUAAACUCCGUAAAACACAACUGUUCUUAAUAUAAAUGCUGCUUCGUGAAUAAACUGGCCUUACCUCAACUUGCUUAACCGCCCCCUCAUAGCAGAAAAAGAACUGCUCUCUAAACUAUGCUAGUAAACAAAUUGUGAACCCAAAUAGUAAACAGAGUAUGUUUAGUUUCAAGUUUUAAGUCGGACUAUAAAUGAUGACGGCUCUUAGAAAAGUAAGUCUUUGCCAAGUGGUGACUUUAGCCAGAAUCCCUGAAGAGUUUGCCAUCUUUGCCAUAAACUAUACAGUCUUCAAAUGGUAGUUGGAUGGCUCUGAGUUUGGCAGACAGUCCACUACCUGGAGUGGUCUGUAGCUGAUGUCCAGGCCAGUCUUUGAAUUUAGCUCUUUUGACAAUGAUGUCUUAGCUCUUGCUUUAAAGGUACAAUGAGCCAUCAAAGUUCUUGAUUAUCCACAGCUAUGGUGGGAACCAGGGCCAUAAAAAGUGUACAACAGAUAAGAUAUUUCUCAACAAUGCCAGAAAAUAUAGAGGACCAUAUGUUAAUCAACCUCGGGCCCUGGAAACAGCCCAGUGGAGUUGUUAAGCUUAUAGCCAACACGCUAAAAGAAAACGUCUUAAAACUACUUUAUCCUCUUUUGUGAAACUGAGUCAAGAAUUGUUCCAGCUUAAGUGUUUGUUUAACCAAAUGUAAGUUUGAAUUAGGGUGAAAAUGCGAGAAAAAAUAUGGGUGGUUGCCAUUUUUGUAAUGCCUUAUGUAGAACCAAACUCUGAUCAGUGUAAUAGCUCUAUGGAUAGCAGUGCCAACAGCUAAACUGCAGUUCUCAGUAGACUGGUUGUAGUACUGUUACUCCAUAGAAGCAAACUGGUUUGGUAUUGUUGUAACAUUGAAGCCAUACUUUUUUUACAACAAGGUGAGAGUGCAGCAGAUUAUUCUGUUACAGUCAAACUUCUGAGAAUUACAGGACAUGUCAGCCAAUAUGUGUUGUAAAUAUCUUUAAGGUUGGAGCUAGGGUUAGAGUUAGGUGUGGGGUUGGAGCUAGGGUUAGGGUUAGGGUUAGGGUUGGAGUUAGGGUUAGUGUUGGAGCUAGGGUUAGGGUUGGGCUUGGAGCUAGGAUUUUUCUGAGUGCAAUGAACCAACUCCCGAGUCUCUAGGACGUUCCUAAAUAAAUUUGAUUUUUUCCCAUAGGAAUGCAUGGGUUAGGGUUAGGGUUAGGGUUGGAGCUAGGGUUAGGGUUAGGGUUAGGGUUGGAGUUAGGGUUAGUGUUGGAGCUAGGGUUAGGGUUGGGCUUGGAGCUAGGAUUUUUCUGAGUGCAAUGAACCAACUCCCGAGUCUCUAGGACGUUCCUAAAUAAAUUUGAUUUUUUCCCAUAGUAAUGCAUGGGUUAGGGUUAGGGUUAGGGUUGGAGCUAGGGUUAGGGUUAGGGUUAGGGUUGGAGUUAGGGUUAGUGUUGGAGCUAGGGUUAGGGUUGGGCUUGGAGCUAGGAUUUUUCUGAGUGCAAUGAACCAACUCCUGAGUCUCUAGGACGUUCCUAAAAAAAUUUGAUUUUUUCCCAUAGGAAUGCAUGGGUUAGGGUUAGGGUUAGGGUUGGAGCUAGGGUUAGGGUUAGGGUUAGGGUUGGAGUUAGGGUUAGUGUUGGAGCUAGGGUUAGGGUUGGGCUUGGAGCUAGGAUUUUUCUGAGUGCAAUGAACCAACUCCCGAGUCUCUAGGACGUUCCUAAAAAAAUUUGAUUUUUUCCCAUAGGAAUGCAUGGGUUAGGGUUAGGGUUAGGGUUGGAGCUAGGGUUAGGGUUAGGGUUAGGGUUGGAGUUAGGGUUAGUGUUGGAGCUAGGAUUAGGGUUGGGCUUGGAGCUAGGAUUUUUCUGAGUGCAAUGAACCAACUCCCGAGUCUCUAGGACGUUCCUAAAAAAAUUUGAUUUUUUCCCAUAGGAAUGCAUGGGUUAGGGUUAGGGUUAGGGUUGGAGCUAGGGUUAGGGUUAGGGUUGGAGUUAGGGUUAGUGUUGGAGCUAGGGUUAGGGUUGGGCUUGGAGCUAGGAUUUUUCUGAGUGCAAUGAACCAACUCCCGAGUCUCUAGGACGUUCCUAAAAAAAUUUGAUUUUUUCCCAUAGGAAUGCAUGGGUUAGGGUUAGGGUUAGGGUUGGAGCUAGGGUUAGGGUUAGGGUUAGGGUUGGAGUUAGGGUUAGUGUUGGAGCUAGGAUUAGGGUUGGGCUUGGAGCUAGGAUUUUUCUGAGUGCAAUGAACCAACUCCUGAGUCUCUAGGACGUUCCUAAAAAAAUUUGAUUUUUUCCCAUAGGAAUGCAUGGGUUAAGAUUGACUUCAAAAGAUGUCCCUUACAUUGGUGAAUGUACAGACACACAAACAUGACUUCACCUAACAGGAACAUACAUCCAGGUGACUCUCCAAAUACGCUUAAAUAACCAUUAAAUUAACCAUUGCUAAGUCAGUCUACUAACACCUUUGAGCAACUUGUCAAAAGUGAUAACAGAGCAUGACAUAGGAAGGGGUCUACGCCUUUUCAGGUGAAGCUUGUCCAAACAAAUACCUUCAGCGAACAACUUUUGUUGUUUUGUUGUGGCUUAACGUUCUUCAGUUCUCUGGGUAGUAGCUGAAGUACAAGGAUGCCAAAUUAUAUAACAAGUAACCAAUGGCACAGUUCAUUGAUUUUAAAAGAAGCUUGUUCAACUCAGUCUAUGAUACCCUCUCUUAAAAUAAUAAAAAAAGGAAUAACAGAAAUGAGCCAUAGUUGUCGACCCGUGUUCAUCAUUUUAAAACAGUUUCAGAUUGAAUCAAGUAGAUUACAGUUUAAUUUCAUUGAUUUAAAGUGGGAUUGAUUGUAGAAACAAGACAUAAGGUAUCCAGCUAUACACAUUUACAGAGAAUUUGCUGAAACUAUAAUACUUUGAUAUUCUUCACAUGUUGGUUUCAGCAUAACUGACCAUUUAAGUCUAUAAAAUGAAAUUCUGUUGUAUGAGAUCCUUUUUUAGAGCAUAAAAAGGUCUCCUCUUGUAUUUCAAACAUAAAAACAUAAUUGCUUUGCCUCCAAACUUCUCAUCCUUUGUGUUUCCAGCCCCUCAGUGCUCAACUUCCUCACAAGGGUCAAAUAAUUGUCAGUGUCACCAGCAGAUUUAGAGAGUGGAGCAUCGGAGGAUAAACCACUGGAGGGGACAAAGCUAUAUUCUCAGGCUGGUAGGAUUUACACUGUACUGCAGCGAGGAUAAGCCCAUCAUUAAAUCAUUAUGAUUGCAACCCUUGACUCCUGAGGUUUUCCUUUUCCUUUUUUUUACUACCCACCACAGCGUGUGAAAAAGAGUACCCUGAACUUCAAAAACUGGAUGUUGUCUUAUGAGCCACUUGCAUUUGAUGGACCUAAUUUAAACUAUUAUGUUCUUGUGGUUUCCUGAUCCUAUUAUAAAUAUUUGAGGGGAAGUAUUUAUCGUUGAGAUACUGUAUAUCAGCACAGAUGGAGUUCCUGUGCAAGCAAAGGUCAGUGAUUUAGACGUAUAAACAUGUGAGUGGGAAAGCCUUAGGGCCUUGACCUAAAAUUCAUGGAAGUGAUGACAAACAGAGGAUGUGGCGAAAUAAGUGAGGCAAUGAAUCAUGGGUUAGGGUUAGGGUUAGGGUUGGAGCUAGGGUUAGGGUUAGGGUUGGAGUUAGGGUUAGGGUUGGAGCUAGGGUUAGGGUUGGGCUUGGAGCUAGGAUUUUUCUGAGUGCAAUGAACUGCGUUUAAUCCCUUGUGUGUUGCACUGAGACUCUCCUCCACCAGCUCUUUGUCGGCCUAAACAGGCGAUGUGGUGCUGCAGCUCGCCACUGGUAACGCCAAGUGUUUAUCGCCCUGUGCAAUGUGCAGGUGACAGUAAUUAUCAGCAGAUGACAGUGGCAGUCUCCAAUGCGCACCAGAUGGCGAUACAAGACGUCAUGCAUGUACAGCUGUAGCGGAGGAAAGAGAAGACCAAGAUGAGGGCGGGGGAAAGACAAAGUCAAGACAAAGCAUGCUUCUAUGUGGCAGCAUUAAACCACAUCUUAGAAGCCUCAUUUGAACCUGCAAGAAGUCCAAAGAAUAAAAUACAACAGGUGAUGCUGGAUGGAGUUUGCACUGAAUGCUUUGAUAGUUUGUCAGGCUGCCAGUAUCUUGUGCAUCCUGCACACUGUUUAGAUCUGCAUGCCACAUUAGCUCCCAAAGCCCGUGCACACAGUGUGUAUACUCUUUACUGGGGUUAAAUGCUUGCAUAUAUACAAUUGCAUACACAGCGUUCAGCAGCAGCAGUCAAGGCCAAUCAGUCAGAUAUGUGAUCAAAACGACACACGUUGGCUGUCACCGUUUGAAGUCAAUGGGGGGUGUAAGCCUGUGUAAGGAACAUUAACAGUCGCUGAUAUUAAACCGAAGUCACUGAAAACAGGACGGGGAUUCGCUCUGCUCUCUGUUUGUGUGUUUGCUCGGAACUCUUCAGGGCUUUCUCUGCAGCCAGGUGACUCCAAAAUUUCCAUAAAUAUAAACUGGAGUGUUUGGUCCUGUGACACUGGCCUGUUUGUUGGCAUACAGGAAGUCCCUUUGACUUUCAACAUAACAUAUGUCCAGAUCUGCUCAGGACACCUGUCAGGAUACAAGAUGUGCAAAGGUUUUGAAAAUAUAUAUAUUUUUUACAAUUUUUUUUUUCAUAAUCUUGAAGUUAGAAUUACACGGGAUUACACCUUUUGCAAGAGCAUAUAACAUGAAUCACUCUCUCCUAGAAUCAGACAGUCAGCUUUCACAGCAGGAGGCACUAAUGAUCAAAUAUAACCUGCUGUCAUCUCCAUUGUAGGUGAAGUAAAUGCGCAUCAUUUGAUUUUAUGCAUUAAACCCACAAGUGAACAGGACAAAGCUGAUUAAAAUACUAACUUAAUACUGCAUGUAAAUAGUGCCUGUUAAUGUCUAACACCAAAACUGCAUGUCUGCCAUUACCGCUCUUGGAACUGUACACCGAAUAAAAAAUGUGAUACUGUGAGUGUUCUUUCCAUGGGAUUAGGUGUCUGGUUAAAUGCCACUCGAAAAGUCCCAUUAGUUCAUUUCCCUCGUGGUUAAUUAACAUCUGCUCCUGACCUUUCCCAUUGAUAGGGGCAACUUUAUCUUGAAAGUCAAGGUUACAAAACUAUGUAUCAAAGCAGAUUGAUUACUGAUCACUGGACUGGAGGAGAGAGGCUCUGGCUAACUACUCCGACUCCAGUCACUCAGGUGAGAGUAAGCAGAAUGAGACACAACUGACAAAGAUUCAACUAAUGAAGUAAAGGUAAAAUUUUAAAUGUGGUUCAUAUUAAAGCAAAGACUGAACAGUUUCUGCAGCAUCUUUGUAUCUGAUUUAGUAGAAACAUGUGUGUGCCAAUUCCUGUAUUCUCUACAUUAGACCAUAAUUUCAGAGAGGUGUUGGUGAAACAAAAAUGAUAGUAAAACUCAUUGUUAUUUGAUCUAUUUCUUAUACCUUCAUCAAGCAACAACAUCUGGUGUUCAAAAAUAAAGUGUUUGCUGACAAGUAAAAAAAAAAAACGGCAGCUUCUCAAGUGUCCACUUGAGGAAAGCUCCGAAAGCCAAAGAAGGCAGCAGAAAUAUCGCACUACCAAGACAAUAAAUCUUUGUCCUCCAUCCUUUAUUGUAUCACACGACUAAAAACUUAUUGUUUUAAUUACUUAUUAAUUUUGAUUUUAUUAAGCCUGAAAGUUAUGCAUAAAUAGCGCAGCCAAUCCAAUCCAUUCUGAUUUAUUUAUAUAGCACAUUUUAAAAAACAUUCAAGUUUAACAAAGUGCUGCACAGUAAAAUUAAAAGAACAAACACUGCAGGGGAAAAAAAAAAUUAAGAGAAAAUAAAUCUAAAUCUAAUCUAAAAAACAUCUAAAAGGAAAUAAAAUAAAUGAAACAAAAACACAAAAGCAUAAAAGAAAUAAAAGUGAUAGAAGGACCAUAAAAGACAUAUAAGGAUAUAAAAGUAUGUGGUUAAUGUGACUGGACUGACAGUUGGAAGCAUUGUAAAUGUGCAUUUCUUAGUAUAUAUAUUUUUUCUUUCUCAAGUAAACUAACUGGAGCAUCCAAAUUUCCUUGUUUAUAAUAUUAAUGACGAUUAAGUGAGUCUAAAUCUGAGUAAAUCUCCACUACAUUUAGACAUUUUUGCUGCGUUAGCCACAGUACGUAUAAACUGACUGCAUUAUCAUAAGGGAGAAUAGGUCGCUUAUGGAGGCAAACUGGUUGCACCCGAGGCUGCUCUUGGUCCUGCUGAAUGGACUUAUACUCCUAUGCCAUUAUACAGCCAUUAUGAUGCAGAAGAAGACUCAUCAGAGCUAAUGAACACCAGUACAUCAUUAGAUUACAGAUCCACUUCCACGCUGAACAGUAGAGACAGUAAAGUUUUCAGUCUGAUGAGGCUGUGAGGGCAAGUUUGUGCUGUGUCGUUGGUCAAUACACGUUCGGAAACUUCUUUUUUUAAUCUUUUGUUGCUCAAUCAGAUGUUCUCCAUGAAUACUAUACAUUUUAUAUGUAUAUAUAUAUUUUUUUUUUCAUAAAAGUUUAAGUGUUUAAUUGUUAUUGGUAAAUGGAGCUUGAAGACGUGCUUAUACCAAACGGGAGGUGUAGGAUUUUGUGGAUUGACUCGCACUGCAAGAAUACAAGUUAUAAAACCUUGACUUUUUGCACUAAUCAUGUACAUUUUCAUUUAAAGUAUAUUUCACUAUGUUCUGAAGAGUGAUAAGAAAUUGAACUGAUUUAUUAAAAUAGUUCUCUAUAUGGUUUAAGAUGUAGCUUUUUGGAUGAGUCCUCUAAUUUGUUUCUCUUCAAAUUUGUUCGUUUUUUUUACUUCUCUCUGUCUGACCUGGAAUAGCACCCCCUCCACAAACUGCACAUAAGAAAAAAAAAACAGAGAUAUAUGAAGCACCUUGUGCCUCCAUAAUCCAUACAAGUCACUUCUAAAGUAGGGCUCUGAUCUCUAUUCAUUACGUCAAAGUGUGUAAGAGACGUUUCUAUUACCACACCAGAUGUCCAAAUCAGCCGUGUUGUUUCAGUGCUUACUGUGCCCAGCCUCCCCCCGUCCCACCGUUUAUUUACGUAGGGGAGCUCUGGCGGCCGGGGGGGAGUCCUGCCUAAUUGUGAGCAGCUGUAAUAUCACAGGGCCAUCAUUAAGAGGGCAACGGCUUUGCGCACAGAUUCAUAAUCCAGCCUGAAAUGGAAUAGCAGCAACGUCCGCCAACCGCUACUGAAUUACCAGAUUGUUAGUGUGGCCUAAUUUUUACACUUUGUUUAUGAAAGACUAAACCGCUCAACAUGAUUAGCACCCACAACAGUGUGAUAUUUCUCCAGGGAGGUGGUCUUGGGCAGGAGGGAGGCCCGCAGUGCCCUACAAGAGAGAUGCUCAGGCUGUGGGCUGGGGAAGUGGGGACUGUGCAGAAGGGAAAAAAUGUGAUGCUGCAUCCAACAGGUGGUUUAAAACAACAGGAGAUGAAUUUCUAUGUUAAAAAUGAUCAAAUCUUAUCAGAGAUCAAGAAUCACACCAUCAGAUUACACUAAAUCAAAAGUCCAGCAAUGAGGUGGAUCACAACCAAAGACAUCCAGACCAUGUCCUGGCACACAAUCAUAAUCUAAACCCCCCACUUUGGUUCACUUCUUGGAUCUCUCUCUGUUUAUAGAACAAACCUGAAAAUAGAUUGAUGCAACAGAGACAAAUAGUGUCACAAUAACCUUAAACUCAUUUGCUAAUGCUGUAAACACACGCAUUGGCAGAGUGCUGAGGGUGCCCUUUUUGUCAUAUCUCCUUGUUGAUAUUUGAAUUUGUCUGUGCAUGUUAGGACUCCGAGUGUUUUCAUAAUCUGGUUUUAUUAUAAGCAACACCGGCCUAUGUUGAAAAAUGAAGUCAAAAAGACAACAAGGCGGCCACCGCGGCCAUCCGCUCAGCAGGCUAGACCCAAGUGGACCACACACAGUGCUUCAGUAGAGUAAUGCAUAAAGGAGAUAUUAGAAUACAAGCACACUGCAAACAGGCCCCUCCAGCCACACAGACAGCGUGCUGUCUCUGCAUUCGUGUUUCUGUUUUUAUAUACAAAGCAGUCAUUGCGAUAGCGUGAUUGCAAGCACCUCUUUUGAAUAUGAGCUUUUUGGUAUUGCAUGUAGACAAAAACAAACUUUGGUUUGUGGAACAUCAGGAUAUUCACAUCCUGUAUUUCAAAGUGUGUUUUCUGGAUGCUGUCUGUGUUUGUGUGUGGGAGACAAAAAAGAAGGAAAAGCACAGCAGAGGAAAAAAAGGAUUCAACUCUAGAUAAAUGUUUGGAGAGCUCUUAAAAAAGAAAAAAAUGAUAAAUACUGUCCAAUGAUAUCCUUUAACACUUCAUUUUUGGAUCAGAAAUUUCAAGGCUAAUUUUUGCUGCUGUUCCUUUUUUGUGUAUAACUGAGUGAGGCUCUAUGCUGGAAUUGGGUAACUUUUCCAGUCACGGUAAAGAUAUCUGCCUCCCCUUAGUUUAUGCCAAAGGUUUAUGCAGCUUGACGAACAAGGUUAUUUCAAAAGGGCCCUUCUCUAUUUUCAUGAGCGAGGGUAUGCAGAUUAUCAUCUCUACCAGCGUGCUGAUCUCAAAUCAACCCCUCAUUACCGGAGCUUAGCUAAGGAGACACACCAUCAAUAUUAGAUGACAAUGAUGGGAAGAGGUGGAGGGCCACUCAUAAGCCUAUAGGACCCUACUCUCCUCACAGCACAUUGUUCACUGCAGAGCCGAGGGACGCACGCAACAUGAGAAGGUAUGAGUCAUGACAGGUGAGCUUUACGAUCAUGGCAAUACAGGAAGCAUGGAUAGAUGCUCUGCUGCAUUUUCAAUGAGAGUGUUCAUUGGCUCUGUCUUUCUAUUAAACCCAAUAAGGAUUCAGCCUGCAGUGUGUUGAUGAUUUAUUCAAAUCAUCUCAGUGUGCAACAACUACAGAGCCCCUGAAUUCCCACAAGGUGGUGAUUUUUAUCUGGUGCUUACAAGUUGAUUAUCUUCUGCACAAAAGAUAUAACGUUAUGCAACUAAGUUGUUAGUUUAUGCAGACAAGCUAUUAUCUUGUGUGAACAAGAUAUUAAAUUGUGCAUUUAGGGACACAAAAUAUUGUAUCGCGCAUAUAAGGUAAUUAUCCAGUGCACACCUGUUAAAUGUGUGGUGCACACAAGAUAUCUAGUGUGCAUAAGAUAUUCUGGCAUACAUUCAAUGUAUUUUUGUGUGCAUAAAAUACAUUGUGCACCUGAGAUAUUGUUUUGUGCAUGCAAGAUGCUGUAUUGUGAACUCAAGUUACAAACCUGUGUGCAAUAGUUUAUAAUAUGGUACACUCAAGAUAAUAACAUGAAAUAUAAUAUCUUGUGCACACAAGCUAAUUAUAUGGGCUGCACAUGAUAUUAAAUGCUACAUGAACACAAGUAUUUACUUAUGUACACGACUCAUACGAUUUUAUGCCAAUUGUAUUUUAUGAUAUUAUUUAGGGUGAUCAUAUUCUGGAUCCCAAAAAAGAGGACACUACUAUGCAAGGCGGGGUCGAGCAUAGUAAAUUUUGAGGAUAUUUCGGGUCGGGUUAAGUGUUUUUUACGUGCUUCUAACUCAGUUAGUCCACGCUACUCAAACGCAAAACUUUAAUACAAAACCCAAGACAUUGGAAGGAUUUUAUAAACUCCUCUGGACAAGGCCGGCACCAAAAAAGAGGACACGUCUGGGUAAAAGAGGAUGUAUGGUCACCUUAUAUUAUUAAGCUAUAGUCAUAAAAUGAAAGAAAUGAAAAAUAAAAGCUAAUAAUAUUUAACUUAAGUUGUUAUUUUGCUCAUACAAGUCAAUAAUCUUAUAAGCACAGGUAAGAUAUCUUGUGUGCACUGUCUAUGUGAAUGCAGAAGUGGGAAUGAUUCCACUUGCCAACAAUUGCCAAAACAUGGCACUAAAACUCUUUUUGGCACCGAUGCAUCAUUCAGAGACAAUAGAUUUAGUGAUAACAUUUCUUAAAUUAAGUUAAAUUUGGGAUUUUGUAAUUUCAAUAAAACGUAUCAAAUGUUUGAUUAUUACGCUGUGGUCUUUUUUAAGACAGUGUUCACCCUCAUAAUGGACCUGGAAUUUCAUGUAAACAUUACCAGUUAUACGUCAAACUGGCUUUUAACGUCUGUGAACAGAGAGGUUGAUGAAAAGAAACGGUCUCUAAGACUUUUCAGCUCCUCUGGCUGCUUUUUUUCAGCAGUGAGUGCUGCACUGAAUGAAGCUCAAGGCUGACACGAGAACGCCGUAGCGCUCACACAAACCUUUUAAAAAGUAAGUGUAAAGUAAGUAUGUUUAUAUGUUAACCACCAUAAACUAUCCCUCUUGACUAAUGUUGCUGACAGAUUUUGAGAGAAACAACUGAGGCCCAAGAAAUCCUCAAGUAAUCUUAGGUAUUUGUCAGCUUAAAACUUGAGAUAGUGCAGAAACUACUCGCUGUUUUACGUCUUAGCAGUGUUUCAGUCUCAGUCUUUUUAAAACUUGUUAAUUGUUAUGCUCUCUUGCCUUCAAUAUCCAUUCCCUAGAGGUCGCAUCACCUGUAACAUACAAGUAUCUGCAAACAGUUCACUAACAAGUCUUGGUUUAAUCUUUAACAUGACUUUGGAAAUAAUUGGGUCUUCUUUCUUCUCUCAUCAGACCAGGUCUGCCUCUGUCUGCAAGUUCAGAAUGCUUCUACAAAGUGUCCCUGCUGGUCCUCCAGAGGCAGAUCAAGGUCAGGCCAGGAGUUGCAGGGACAGUGGGAGAGUAUUGUGUGAGUGUAUGUGUGUGUUGGGAUUGGGGCUGGGGAGGUAGACGGUGAGAGAGGGACACCUCAGGACCCUGACAGCUCCGGUUGCCUGAGCCACGACCGCUUGGGUGCAGGAGACUAGCCGCAGAUCGAUCGUGGCGGAGCUGGAUCCCUGUGUUGGGGGGGGCGGCGCGCUGGGACUGAAUGACAUAAGCCCAGACGUCUAAGUGUCCCAUUAGCAAGACAGCCGCUCAUGUCCUGGUGCACUCCUCUCCCUCCCCUCCCUUAGCAACGCUGGCAUCAUAUGGAAAACAGCUCAGGUGUUCCCUUCAGCUGUUUGAGAACGAGGAUGAGAUGAGAAAACUCACAGAGAGGACAGCAGCUGACUCUGGGGCAGCUACAGCUCUGCAUGUGGCACUUCUGAUCCUCCAUAUGUAACCGAAGCAAUUAUAACUUUAUGGCCUACAUAAAUCUGCCAAAGGAGCUGCAGCUCAGAGUGCAUUUGUGUAUGAGUGUUUACAUACAUUUGUAUCUUCGUAUUUGUGCGUUUGCAUAUGUUUACAGCCAUCAGAGCAAGGGGGGGCUUUCAGGCCACGUGUGUGCUUUCUCCACAAGACGACCCGCUGUGGUCAGAUUGUUGCAGAUGAUUCCUAAACACAUAAGAAAUGAUGACAAAACAAGAAGGCCACACACAGAGAGGCUGCUGCGACACACUGCCUGCUGGGCCCAAACACAGAGGAAGAGCCAGGCGCAGCUCCACUCUGGUGGAGAAACGGCCCGCAUGUUUUAUUACUCUUCCCACCCUCUGGAAAUGAGCAUAUUUACAUGUCCUCAAAAUAUGCUGCAGGGCUGUGAUAUCCUGCCCACAGUGUCCAUCAAACUCUUUGGCAUGCCCUGAUUAUAACAUGCUCACCAGGACUGAGUCAAGUCAGGGAUUUGUAGCUAGUAAUAUAAUCUGUCAAAAACAUAAACAGCUGUCUAUCUUAAUGAAAGUAGAGAACUUAAAGCUGGGGAACCAAUUAAACUGGGUCUAAAUAAAGCUUUUAAAUAGCCAUAAAAUGGAGUCGAAGAAAUAAAAGAGUGACUAAGAUACUGCCUGUUUGUCUCCAGAGCAGCCAUUUUUAAGAAUAACUUGAGCCCUGCAACUUUUAAAAUCACCUUGGAAUCAACGAUCUAUAGACGUUUAUCUUUGAAAAGAGUUUUGAAGUGGUUAUAAACCCGACCAAACAUGUAACUGAUGCCUUGAUAUGAGUAACAAAAACACACAAAACCAUCAGCUUGAAGCCUGACUACUUUGAUACAGUUGUUUCAAAUACUGUUUACAGUUUUUAUGGGAAAGAGUCUCACUGAGGGUUACACUUGACUCUUAAAGAUUUCUCACCAGCUGCCUGUACCCUUUCAUGGCCUUCUCUUUGUUACAAUCCUCUCUAAGCAAUAAAUCGUAGCACCUAAAAGAUGGAUAUUUGUAGGCUAAAGGUUCAUUUAUGCUCAACGUUACAUAUGGAUCUGGAUACAGGCGGAGCUCUCUGUCCGUGCUUCGCGUUCUUUUUGUCCGUAUUCCUGCACGUAUCCUUGAAGUUUACGAAUACGGGCCAGAUGGAGCAGUACCACGGAAAACCGUGGGGGCGGUAUUGCUGCUGUCACUACCUGAUACGCAUUUCUAGAGAGAAAUGAAGAAGACAAUGGAGGGGCUUCUAUGCUGCCUCCAUUUCGGUCUCCUACACAAGAUAUACAUUGCCGUGUCUCUUUGUUGUCUUUGUUGUCAGAAACUUUUGACUCUGGCUUGCCCCCUGGUGGAUGUAAUGUUUACCAUCCCUGCCAAUGUAAAGUACGGAUGGAAGUGUGUGGGCAGUGACGGAACUAUCGUUUGAAACGGACGCGUACAUUUUCAUACGUUUGACGAGCAUAAAUGAGCCUUAAUAGGCUGCCUGUGUCCACUUCUACAGCUGCUGUAUGUCCUCAUUGCUGAGUACGAGUAUGGCUGCUCUUCCAAUAUACCGUACAUGUUAGUUUACAUAUUGAUUAUUUUCUUAAGUUUAUGACUUUAUUCUCAUAAAUUAACUUUAGAUCCACCAGUUUAUGAAUUUAGUCCCCCUUAAAUUUUCUCUAAGAUUAAAAACUAUUUCUUUUUGCCUCUGCAGCUUUAUUGUUGUAAAAUAACAACAGUAUAUUGUAAUAUUACAACUUCACUUUCAAAAUCUACAUUUGUUUAUCCGCUAUGUGGCUCGAAUCUUCUGUAUGCAUAAGACAAGAACACUUAAAGGAGGAGACACAUUGAUUUGUCCACAGAAGAUGUCAAAAUUAACACAUCCUAGAACUUCUUCACUGGUGCUUUAAGUUAUUUUAUAUUUAGGUCAAUUUAAAUGUUUUAUUGUUUUACUCUUCUUAUUGAGGCGUAAACCUUACUGUUGUGAAUUUAAGCAAAACGGACAUGCUAGAUGUAUUAUUGCAUGGAGUCAGAAAGUGAAUAAAAUGCGCAUACUCAUGUACGAGUAAGAACAUUGCAUAUGAGUUGCUCUGCUCCAGAGUUGCACACAAGUCCUGCAUUAUUUUUCCACUGUUAUCACAAUAAAAGAUAGAUGUAAAGUCUGUGUAUUGACUUCGAUAUUUAAGCACUCACUUAUUUGGCAAUAUCCACCAAAAACAAACACCAUGAGGUUAAUGAAGGCCCCUUGGGUCCUAGCUUUUACGAUUAUUAAUCCAGACAGCUUGCUGAUAAACUUUGAUGAUUAAUAGUGUUGCAAUCGCAGCACGACUCUUUCUGCUUUAAGGUUUUCCUUUACUGCCAUACAGUGCCGGUGAUUCACUCGGUGACUGGUGAGAUUAAAAAAAGGAUACCACUCUAAUCUUGCAACAUGAGAAUGUCAGUGGAAAAUGAUGCACGCAUGAAGCCACAGACGUAUUUGAUUCCUUUUGUUAAAAGAGAUGUGAGUUACACAAAUGAUGGAGCGGAGAAUGAAUCAGUACAGGAAAUGCUCUCUUGCUAAGCCCUGCGUGUGGCCAAGAGAGACGGCCAUAAACAAAGCUGCUCUUUGUGACUCCUCUUCACUCUCUAGUGCUCUCUCUCUCUCUCUUUUUCUUUCUCUCUCUCUCCCCCAAACUGUUGGCCUGAUUCUAUGAAGUCACUCACUUAUCUUAAAGGUCUUAACAUGUUUCAUGAAUCCGCUUAAAAAUUCACACAUUUCUUCAAAACUCUCUGAGAACUCACUAAGCAGUCACACUGAAGGGGAUCAGCACGCCUGGCCGGAAAUGUGGGACAUUUGGGGAAACAAAGGGAAAAUAAAUACUGUCUGUAUCUGAAUUAUGCAAACAAUAAAUACACCAUGGAUCAUGAAACUCCAAACCUCUGAGCAACUGCAAACACCAAAAUAGUCUCAGAGCACUCUGAUCUUGGGAGCAGAUGUUCAGGAAGUUUUACUCUCUGAGUCUUUUGGAGGUCCUGAGAUGACUGAGAAGAUUUAGACGUCUUGGAAGGCUGCCAUGUUUGGCUGCUGCAUGAAAAGAUUCGCUUGUUAAUACUAUUCAUUUCAGGGUUAGUUAAGCUACACUGUAAAUAAGAAAGUAGACAGAAAAGAUUUAUUCAUACUUUAACCAUACAUAGUUAUUAAAGAUAUUGGAUAAAAACUGUAUUUAAGCACAUGAACUUUUUUGCUUUUAUCUAAAAAAAAAAAACAAUUAACAGAGUGCACAAAUCUGUCUUAGUGUCUCAUUUUUUCCCCCCUUUUGUGUUUUUCCUUUAAUAAAAUCAUAUUUAAAUGAGUAGCAACCAUUGCUGCUGGUAGACACACAAAACUUAUCCACCAUUAUAAAAGAGAAAUUUAAAUUAGCCCACUAAAAAUACAACAUUGUUGAAAAUAUCUUGUCAAUAAAGCUGACUUUAUUGGAAAAUAGGUUUGUGAUAUUAAAAAAAUCUAUAUUUAAAAUUAUAUUUUAAAAAAAUAGAAAAUACUUAACAAAUUUAGCUUUACAUUUGUUUGUAUAAAUGCUUAAAAGCUUUUGACAGGAGGAAAAAACAAAUCUAUGAAAAUAAAGAAAAAAUAUAUUACUUUUUGAAAUAAUGACAAUUUCAAGUCUACUUAACCAAUUCAUGAUUAUUUCAGCCUUUUUAAGAAAACCAGCUCUCAUUGUCACAGGUGGGAAUCAUCUUGUGGAUAAAACACUAUCUGAAAUGGUUUAUACAAAUAAAUCAAAUUUUAGAUUUGUUCACAUUUUCAUUUACUCAGAACAAGACUAAUAAAUCUAUAUGAGAGCUCGAUCCCCUUUCAGCCAUCUUGCACCAUCAUAUUUCUACAGUAGCACAGUACAACUUGUCACAUUCACAUUUCUAUAUUUGCUGACACAAAUUGUGCGCAACAAAAUUUGUACUGAUAGGCGUCUGAUGAUGAAAACUUGACAAAUGGAGGGCUUCACGUUACUUGUCCUGUGCACCUGAGGUCACCAUACUGAUAGCAUGUGGGAUCAAGGAUUUGACUAUAAUACUAAAUAUUCUUAUUUCUACACACAGCACCUUUAAAAUAAACAAGAUAUCAAUAAUCCUUUCUGCCUGUGCUCAACAACAACAAUAGCUGCCACUAUAAUUGGUUGUUUGGUGAAUUUAAGCUACUUUUAUGAUCAAACUGGCACAACAAAAAAAGAUUAUUAAUCACCUCUUCUUUGGAGGAGCUGUCAUCUUCAGGCCCUUUACAAAGUCGAUCUAAAAUCUAACAAUGUUGUCUAACAGGAACUGUAUCUUUUAAAUAGGGUGACCGUAGGUCCUCUUUUAUCUGGACAUGUCCUCUUUUGGGGGCAGUCCUGGGGGGAGUUUAUAAUAUCCUCCAAAUGUCAGGGGUCAUGUAUAGAAGUCUUGAGUUUGUGUAGCGUGGACUAACUGUUUUUUUUGUUUUGUUUCAAGGUGUCUGUUUGAUAUAAAAAGACAUGAUGAUACUUAGAAAUGUGUUUAUGAGGGAAAUGACAGUCAUGAAGAAUUAUUUUGAAACACAAGUGAGGAGAGUUUUUGAAGUCAAGCUUUAUUCAUCUUUAUACAAGGAAAUAAACUUUUGAAUAAAAUAAAAAAAUAUUUUUUUAUUUUAUUUUGUAUGCUAUUAUAAGACAUAAAGUAAAACAAACCAUCUCAAAGAGUCCUUAUCUGACUUUGCUCCUCCUGGAAAUCAGAUUCAGCAGAAAGACAGAUAGGCUGAGAGACAAAGAGAUAACAUUGCCUUGAUCCUCUUCUCGCCGCGCUGGCCUAAUGCAUUCUCCCUCUCACUCACUGUAAUUGCGAUGCAAUGAUGUCAGCAUGACAGGAGAGACCGAACGCGAGACAGCGUUGAAUAAGCUGCCGCCUCAGUAUCAAGAGCACAAAAACGUAUCUGAGACACUCUAUGGGGUGUCAAUUUAAUCAUGCUUAAACCAGGUAUCAGCUUCCUGCAUGAUUCCACCAUUGACAAAGAAUCCUGCCGACUGACUGCGCUGCACUGAGCAGAGCUACAGACUCCUGCUUGAUAAAGUGUCUGUGACUGACACGCUCACUGACACACACACACGCACACACACACACAACACUUCCUUAUAGCAUUUGACUGACAAUGAUGUAGAUGACACAAAAUUGCACGUCGCAAUGAAACAACAACAUGGAAUCCAACUUAUCAUUCAAAUACAAUGUCAUUUUUUUCUUCGUCACAUUUCAAUGAAACUGUUUAAAUAAAGAUAUUUAAAAUAAUUCAACACUAAGUAAAAAAGAAAAUAAAAGUUGCUGCUAUGACUCACAGAAGUAAUCCUGAGUUAGCUCUACCUGCAAAGUCAAACUGAGUCAUAGCACAGAUACCCCCACCCCCCCCCAAGACACACACAAACAUGUACCCACACAUACAUACACACAGCCUCCCACCCAUCACUGGCCCCCUGGCCCCCAUAGACAGUCUGCGGGCAGACAAGAAAUAAUUCAUACGGCUUCCCACACUGGAGUGGGUGUCCUGUAUCAGCCUGUGCGCUCCACUGCCUGUCUGUUAUCACCUGCAAUUGAGGUAAUCCACAAGACUAUUAUACUGCAGCUUAUUGUACAGAGAAUAUAGCUGCCUGCUGCACCACCUCCUUGCUUCAACACUGCGCCCCAAUCUCCACCAUCACAGCAAAACCAAGCCCCUGGAAAGCUGGGAGUGUUCAAACUCUCCGCACACGUUAGCUGAUGGUUAUAAAACAAAAAAAAAGUCAGAUGUUCUGCUUAAAGCUCCAAUGUUUAAGUAUUCACUUGUUUUUAAAACAGACUGAGAUGAACACUGGUGUCUUCUUAUGACCCUGAAAAGCAAACAAGACUGUUAAAAGAAUAAUGAAUAUUUUUUUUUGAGUUAUUUUAAAUGGCAGAAACCAAUGGCUGAGUUUGUCAGACCAAGACGUUGACUUUAAAGCUCCUGUGAGGAACUUUUGAUUUGUGCAAUUUUGGCACUCCUUGUAGACAAAGCAGUGUUUUCCUCCUGGCAAACACCCUCACUCAGUGUUGCCAACACCUCAGUAAGAAGAGUCGCUAGUGGCUGUCGUAAAAGUUGCAUCAUUUUUCAGAGUAAGAAUGUUACUCUUCUUGCUUUCAUAAAUGAGUCUCCAAAUUUCUGAAAAAGACGCUACAUUUGUUGCUAGGUGCUUUUUUGAAAAUGAGUCGCUAAGUGGUCUGUCGCUACCUAAUCCGUCCAGGAAACCCGAUUUGUACAGUGCAUGUGCGAAACGUACGUCACUUCCUCUACUAGCCAUCUUUGCACCAGUUCAGCAGUUCUUUGCCCCUAGCGGUUUGCGACAGCUUCGACACUUGUUCAACAGCAUCAGCGAGCUUGCUUCAGUCAGAAUAGAUGCUUCAGUUUAUCACCAGCCACGCACUUUUCUCCUGAGUGCCUCCCCUGACUGAAGCAGAGCACCAGAAAGUCAAGAGAACGGCACCCAGUUUCAGGAAUAAAGGCCAUUAUUGGCAAUAAAGAAGUAAAAUGAAAUAAAAUUAAAAAUUGGAGGAAGACAGAAAAGCUUUGAUAAGUGUAACAUGAGCUGAGACGUCAUUAAAAUGAAGACAUUAAAAUGAAGACAUCAUAAGAAUCUGUGAUACCCGGCCAACACAGGAACCCAACCACAAAAACCUGAGACCAAGGGGACUUUAAAAAAAGACAUGUAAAGACUGUUUUAUCCACAAGGCUAGAAUAAAUACAAUCUCAAUAUUCAUGAUGGGAGCUUUAAGUAAAAUCUGCAGAUAUUACUCUUCAAAAGCCUCACUCUUCUUAUUUGACUGAUUUUGCUUUAGUAAAUUAACUUUAGUUUAAUGAGUUUAAUUUGAUUUAAUUUUGAACAGUGUAGAAAUGUCUAAUCUUUAAAAAGUAUGUAGGUGACAUAGAGUUUUUAAAAUAACAGCUAAUCAAAAAUAAUAUUUUUCUCUCUCUGGAGUAAAAGGGGUAAAGAUUGUGCUAAAAAAAAAAGUGCUGUUCUCCCUCUGUAUUAUAAAACAGCAGUCAAAGGGUUAAAUAAUUUAACAUACUAAGUUGCAAACUCGCUGAAAAAUCCAUGCUCCCACAGCCUCUCAUGUUGCCAGAGAGUGCAUUGUACAGGGAAUUGUCAACAUUCCCAUGAUGAGCCUGCAGGCCCCUGUGGUCCGAGGAGGUGUCGAGAUGAAGUGGGGACCAAAAUUGAUUGUAAAUGCUGAAUUAUUCAACCCAGCCCUCCGCCAUUUGAGUGAGUUUCUUCGGUUACGUUGAGAAGAGCUUUCAUAGCAAAACAGGAGAAGAUUAUCUUCCACAGGCCCCCGUGGAGGCCCUGAACGCCUCUCAUUAACGAGACAAAGCAUCUACAGCCCAGACACACAGAUACAGGCGCACUGACACAAAUUUACACACACACACUCACACACAGACACACACACGUGCAUGCCAAAAGUGCUGCUGACAUUGAUAUCGCGUCACUAUACACACUCACUGGCUAAUGUCCAAAACAUACAAAGAUGCUGCGAGAGCUUAAGUGAAAGAAGUAUGAAAAUGAGUAUGAAACUACUAAAUUACCCAAUUCCUGAAUGGUUUUUAAAAAUGACAAGUCUCUUAACGCGAAACCAUUUGAAAGUGUUGCUGCUUUGAUAUGCUUCAUUUAAGUGUUGCUGAGAAGCUCUUUUCUCCAGUCAUUAAAAUAUCCCUGAAAAAUAUCCUUGUAAUGUUUGAAUUUGCAUAUUUACAAGAUUCCUCGAGCAAUCCCUCCAUCUCCGUUAAUAAAGAGAGGUAAAAGCGAUAUAAUGAACCCAGCCUGUCAGUUCAAGGGCAACAGUUGUUCUUUUUUAUUUAAAUAUCAUCUGAACCCGUCCUCAAUCUCAGCAUGUGCUUCAUUACAAAUAAAAUGCGCGGUGGCUCAAUAAAGGUAAUUAAAUGUGGAUGCCUCAGCUUUACAGUGUUGUGGACCUGUUAAUACAAUUCAGCCCGACUCCAAUUACAGAAAAUCCCAAUGACCUCAUGGCCCAUAAUAAAUCCAUGUGAUCACAUUAAACGGGGCAGGGAGUGAGCGAGGCGUUCAGGGGGUCUGUAAUGUACUCAGCAGGAACAAAACGAGCGGUUUCAGGAUGCCAGAGAUAUGACUGCAGAAGAGGAAACUCUAGCUUUGCACCGCAGUCCCCUUUGGCCCGAGCUAUCAUUAAAUGACUCGCUGAAAUUUUAAUUCUCUGAUCACAUUAAGUGCUUUUGGAAGACAACAAACUCUGCAGCAGAGAUCUUGGCGGUGUCAUCUCCUCGUGGGGAGUGAUAUAAAGGUCCUUAGGUAUAAGGACGCCCGUCCUUUUUUUCAGCGCUGGUGUCUUAUGGAGGUUUAGGUUACACCUUUGCAUAAGAUGAUGGCUGAGUGUGACAGGUCGUUUCACCAGCUGGACAUCCUCGCUGUCCUGCACGUCUCUUAGCAGCAUGAAAUCAAACAGGUGACAAGUCAUCACAGGGAGAAGCACACUGAUGUAUCACUAUACUUCUGAGGACUCGUGGUAGUGGCAUUUUUUUGAGUGCUAAUACAAAUCCCUAAAUUAACUCGUAACCUAAGUCUACAAGUUUAAUCUGAUUCUGAGCUCAACUCUGUCAGUUUUUUAAGUGUAAUAUGUCUUCUUACCACCUCUUCAUAAUGCCUAAAUUUUCUCAUGGUGAAACUGUUGAACAAAGACAUGUUUGACAGUAUUACCCUGUAAAACACAAUAAGCUUAAAAACGUGUAUAUUUAAAAACGACUACAUUUUCCAGCUUUAACCACUUCAGGAUCUCAUCGUAUUUUACUUUUCUGCUCCUCCUGCUUAAAUAGCAUUGUUUUGUUUUUUUCCACAGCAGGCCCCUCUUUAUUGUAGUGUCAGAAUAGUAUCCAUAUAAUGCUAAUGUAUGAGAUAAAUAACCAAAAAUGGUAAUAAAAGAGCCUUUGACACAUAAAGAGCUGCCCUUUUAGCUACUGGGACUACAAGGAAAGUCAACACUGGGCUCACAAAUGAUUUUCUUUUUUUCUUUUAUUUCAGAUAUGUAAUAUUUUUCAUGUACCUUGACAUGUUUCGGCAGAAACUUCCACCUUCCUCAGAAGUGUCACUUCUGACCUUCCUCAGAAGUGUUACUUGGUGACACUUUUGAGGAAGCGUCAUCUUUAGCACCAACCUUGGACUGGUCGUGCUCUCUACUAUGCCGUAAUUUUGUGAUUCUUCAAAACUUGGACUCUGUGGUUAGCCUGUGUGUUGUUUUGAGGGAAUGAUCAGAUUCAACCAGCCUUUUGGGCAAAACUGAGGAAAGUAGAGCAUCCUCUUCAGCCAAACUAAAGUACAGGUUUCAUAAAUAACUGAAUGCACCGUGUUUUAGCAAAUCAGCACUUUAUCCAAGAAUCUGGAUUUUGAAUCUAAUUUGCAAGGAACUGAUGAGGCAGGGCAUAGACAGCUGAUUGGUCCUCAGAUGGUGAGUUUAACUCAAAGACUGUAUAUAGAAUGGAUGUCGUCUGCCUCAUCGCUGGGUGAAGCCACCGUGAGAACAGCACCCUCUGGUGACAGGCUGCAGUAUAGGUCAUAAAUCCCGCCUCCUCCAGCAAUCCCUGUGGAGCUGUGGACAAACUUUAGAAAUUAAUUACACAGAAUACACAUUUUUCUCCCCCCGGAUCCCCAAAUACUGAGAGCAAUUCGGCUUCAAAUUCGUAUAAUGACAGAGGGCAGAGCCAAGGUGUCCAUAGUAUGUACAGUCUUAAAGUAUGAGUAUGUACAAAGUUAAAGAAAGAAAACAAUCUUUAGCCUUCAUAGAUUAACUACAGCUUGUACUAUCUCAUAAAAAUACAUUACUCGUACUAAAAUGCACAUAAUUGUAUAAAGCCAAAGGUGUUGUUUUCACAUGUUUUCACCCCUUGAAUUACACGCAUUUCCACUAAGUUAGCUUUCCAGUAUGGUAUAUGCUAAAAAGAAUCAUCAGUAAUUUGCAUAUUUCAUGCAAGAAUCAAACACCUCUCCUCAUUCACACUUUGAUUUGCAAUACACAGGAUCACUCAUCCAGGUCAUGCAGAUACAAAGCCCUUUAAACAUCCACUCUGACCUCAUCAGUAAUUACAGGUCACGCAUUAUGGAAAUUGGUUUUGUGUGUGUUUGACAGCGUCAAUUUUCUGUCAAUAUUUUUGAUGUAGUGUCUUACAAGGUCUUGCUGUAGUCCUCUUGAGGCAAAGAAUUGUGCAUUAUGAAAAGCUGGUUUAAUAAAAGAGAGGGUAGAAUCCUCUUUGUGUAUUCUGACGGCAACAAACGAUGCUCGGCAGCAGCUGCCAAAUCAAACAUAAACAAAGGAGAAAUGUCUUUACCCUCUGGCAGUCUGAUGAAAGGGGGACCCACUGAGCCCUGAAGUUUUGGAUACUUAGUUUGUAGGAGGAGCUUUUUUUUUCUUUGUCUAAUUGAUACUAGUUUUAUCCUGUUUCAACCCACAGGGAAGCCAAAGGUGAUGUUUUCAUAAGAGGAUCAUAUAAAUAAAGGCUGUGCAAGGAGGGGACCCCUACCAGCAGAGCAUCAUGGGAAGGGGCUACAGGCUAAGGCCACACAAGACGUCCAUCAUGACAUCAGAGGGGUUAAAGAUGACCAUCAUGCUUUAGCUACAUUUUCCUCUGAUCUCGAGAAUAUAGUCUUCAUGGAGAGAGUGAUCUGUGAAAACUGCUGAUUUCUGAGAGUAUGAACACUGUUUUGGGGAUUCUGGAGGAAUUAAAUUGGAAGAACAGACAGAUUUUCAAAUGUUCAGGAGAUGUCAGGGAUUCAGCAUUAUAUAUAUGAAAUAACACAUUAUACUUGGAGUAAAUACAUUUGGCCAAAAGUUAUCAACAACUACUUCCACAGUAAUUGAAAGUUUCAAAGUUUGCUUGUUCAUACCUCACUGGGCAGAGAUACUUUUUGAAACGGUUCUUUGGGUCGUUUUUGUAAAAGGUGACAGAAAUCUGAAGCUGGAGCUUGCAGUGCUUUUGACCUCUCAGUGGUAUUAUCUGAUUACACUGCUGGCAGCCAAACAAUACUACAGCACAGAGGAGCCAGGACAGGAGCUACACAUACUGUACACACAUUCACUAAACCCAGCCACUGAAUGCCUUUCUCCUCAGUUAAAUGCAGCAUGUGCAGUGGAGCACACAGACUGAAACAGCUUCUAUAGGCCUACUGGGUGCAAACCCAUGCCAAUAGAAUAAAGAGAGAAGACAUCGUGUGCAUUUAUAAAACAACUAGAGGAGGGCGUGCAGUGGGGACUUUAUACGCAGGAGGAAUAUCGUAACAUGGCAAACCCCCUGAAAAGCUUCUUUAUUUUGAUCAUGCAGCUCGAUUAUGUUAAAGCUGAUCAAAACUGUUCAGUUCAAACCAUUUCUUUCAUAAGUUUGGAAUGUGGAUGAACUGAUCUGUUCUACUGGUGCGUUUUUCCUGAAGUUAACAAUGCUGUAAGGAAGACUUUAAAAGUGUCCCUCACACAUUCAGCCUAAACUUGAAAAUAAAACACUGUUAUGAAUGGGACAAGGGCUUUCUCCUUGUGUAACCAGGUUUUACCCUUUACUUUUGAAAAAGGAAAAAAAAGGAGUUGGACUGAUUAGUGUUAUUUCAAGUCUCUCAAAAAUAGGUUUGUGUUUGGAUUUUUGAUCAGUGAUGAUGUUAAAUGUUUAGAUCCCUUUAUUAUUAUUUUUGUUUCUCUUGAGGCUUUACAUUGUUAUUAUCAUAUGCUCCUCUGUUAAAGUUUCUAUAGACAUUUGAGAUGCAAUUUAUUUAUGUUUUUGUUUGUUUUCAUGGGUGAGUAUUAAAAAAAUACACCAGAAAGAGCUAAGAUUCACAUGUAAUGUUUAGUACCCUGACAAACCUAAAGCUCCAGUGAGGAACUUUUGUUUUUCGUCGAUUUUGGCGCCCCUUGUGGUCAAAGCAGUUUUUGCUUGGCUUGUCAUCUACCUAUUUCAGUAGAUAAAAAUCUCAUCCUGCUGACGUUUGACAGUCAAAUGUAUUUACUAUUGUGAAUAUUCUAUGUAUAAAAUGCUAAAACAGGGCUGUCUCCACAGCUGCUCAGCUGACACCUACCCCCAAUUUCAGGCAUUAAAAGUUCAGCAUUAAAAAAAAAAAAUCACAGUCUUGUCUGUGAUGGUCUUGUUUGAAUGCGGAUACCUUAAAGAGGCAUUAAUGUGAGUUUGAAUUUUUUUUUCUUUAUAAAAAAAAAAAAAAAAAAACUUAUGACAGGAGCUUUAAAUCAUUUUCAGUCUUUUUACAUUUACUCAGAAAUGAAUUAAAUUCUCAUUUUUCUAUACACCUGGGCGCUUCAAAAUUCUUUUAAGUAACAGUUAUGACUCUAAGACAUAUGAGGAUACUUGAGGUAGAAUAAACUAAAAUUAUCAUUGUUAACUCUCCUAAAAAAAUGGUUUGCUUAAAAUCAAACUGCUUCUUAUACUACAGCGUGCUCCCUCCAAGGUUCUGAAAAAUCCUCAUAUGUGAACCGUGAUUCUCCGAGACAGGAGUUAAAAAAAAAGUUUCCUUUCCCUUUCUAUUCAGAGAAUGAGCUAAUCGUCACAAAGCUGGCAGCUGAAAGGAGCCAGUGAGUUUAAUCUGACCACAAUGACAUGUUUGAUUGGUCAGUGCCGGGCAGGCAGGCAGGCAGGCAGGGUGGGUGUCGAGUGUGGCCCUCUCCUGUGGCAGCAGAGAACAAACAUAAAUCUUCUUCAACAAUCUAUUUUCCAUCAUACUUAUUCACAGGGGACAUCUCAAAGUGGUCUUUACCCUUUCUGUCAAUGGCUGCCCUCAUCCAUCAAUUUCAUAGAGAAUUAUACCCCAGAUCGAUGUAGUUCACGACCGCUGAGCAUUUGUCGAGGGGUGGUGGAGGUGCAGGGGCGGCUGGUGGGGGGACGGGUGGAUGCGUCACUCAGUGUUCUCAUAGCUUCUUUUGCUUUGACCACCCCUCGUGCCCAAAUACGUCACACCACACUGCGUAGUUGGUGUUCUCUCAGCAUUAAGCUCUUCGUAUGUUUCAGCGGACAAUGAGCGGUCAUAGACAAAAGGACAGAUUUACAAAUAAAUGGAAAUGUCUGAAUGAACAAAUGGAAACAUAACUGUUUCAAUUAUGCUCUGAUCCCAUGAGUGCAGAUUUUUUUUUUUUUUUCUUUUUCAAAUUAGGUUAAAACACUUUGGUCUCCAUUAUUCCACUAUGACAGAAAUUAAAACAUUAUGUGAAAUGCAUACUUACCGUGGCUCAUACACCAGCAGGCAGAGGACUCAUCAAAUAAAGCUUUUAGUUUGGCAAAUGGCAUAUUUAUUCUUAACAUGAAACAAAAGAUCAGGGAAAAAAAAAAAAAAAACACACACGCCAAAGUCCUUGAGUGCAUAGCAUAGCAGCGCACAGCCUCUUAAACUUAGUCAUGUCCUUGUUAUCUGCUGUUGUCAAAAGCUAUUAUUCAAAAAAAAAAAAAAAGUUCAAUUUAAGAAGAAGGACACACUAAUAAUGGGUGUGAGGGACAAGGCCCCGUCUGGCCAUUAUGGAAUAUGUCGCAAUACCAUUACACACCCAGUGACAAAGAUAUUCAGGCUGGAUAAUGGAGCUAUGAAGAGCUGCAGCACAAUGCAUAAUUGCUCCUUCUGAAACAUUGAUGAAUUAAAUUAGGGGGUGGUGGGAUCAAAUUCAUAAAUCAAAUUACAGUACCUUUGCUUCUGCAUGCUUAAACAGUUGAGGACUCUUUAGAAGUGGCUCCUAAAUUGCAGGGGGGCUAAAGUAAAUGAAGUAGGCAUAAUUAUGUGUAUCUUCUCACUGCAGCAUUGUCUUCAAUGAAUUUUUUACAAAGGCGACCAUUAGCUACAAACUAAUACCAGUUAAGCCUGAGCAAAACUGAAUUAUUAAAUCUGUCAGCCAAUAUCCUAUUACAGCCUACUUAUGAAUAGUUGAUUUUAUUUUGUAUAAUUGACAAGGCUUAUCGUACAGUGAGGCUUUCCGUGGCAGCUUGGGUUUUGAGAUGUGGUGAUACGUAUGGACCUGUGGUACAAAAGGGCUGGCUCAUGUCAGGUUGCUUUUCUUACAGGUGGGAUCUAAUGACCUGUCAUAACUGCUUUCUGGAGCGCUGGAAAAUCAGGCAGCAUGAGGGUGUGACACACUUAUCUGCUUCCUGAAUGCAUGACAGACUAUUUUAUCAUGACCUACCAUCAGAUGAAUAAAACUAAAGACACUGCAUGUGUGAAUCUGAGCUAUUACGCUUAACAUUUUUUUUUUCUGUCUCUUUUCAAAUUUUUAUAAAGUUUUUCAAUUCCACUCAUUUAAUUUUUAUGAGGGCUGUAAAAUAAUGAUUUUUAAAUCCUGCCAAAUUACUAUACCAAAUAGUUUAACAAGUUACUCACUAUUUCUACCCCAUGUUAAAAGUUACAUUAUUUAGCAUUUUAGAUACAGUUUAUAGGGAAAUUUAAAUAAUGCGGAAUGAUUCUUACUCAAAAAUAAAUAUAAGAUAUGCAAGAAGGCAACUUUAUGAUCUUGAUUCUGGAUUCAUAUACUUUUUGAAUAAAUGCUGUUCUGCUACAUCAGUGUGGUCUGACUUUAUGUCAGGAAACAGUUUUACUGUGGUAGUUCUGUUAUUCAGGAUUACACUAUUACAGACCGAGAGAUAUGCAGGUGUGUGUUUUUAAAAAUGUGCAACACAUGUCAGUAAAGCGCAAAACAGGAAAACUCUCGAAGCUCUGUUGAAUUUGGUUGUUGUCAGAAAUUUCGAAUUUUCCCUUUAGGAUUCAUAAAGCUCUUAUCUUUUUUUUAAAGACAGCCUUGCUCUAAAACAAUGUACAAGUAAAACGUACACAGUCCCAAUGGCAGUGGGCUGAAAGAAGAAAUAUCGCCACCUGCUGCAGUGGAGGCAGACAUGGUUCUGUCAACAACUCGAUUCAUGCUAGGUGUUUAUGAACUAGUACAAGGACACUAGUACAAUAACAUAAUCUCAUCAAGCCAUGACUAUAACUCAAGUUAACGCUUUAUGUAAACAUAUUCAUAUUCAAUUUGAGGUUUAUUGAUGGCUGUUUAGAAAUGCUGAAUUAGUCUAACUUUCAGUCGGCCUGAAGAGGGGCAAGAGGGUGUAGAGUUUAGACCUCUUUCCUUGUUGCCUGUUGCUGCAGUGUUCCAGCCUGUUAGUCAGCAAUACCUGUAUUUAUGCAAAAUACAUAACCUUAAUAACAUAUAAGAAAAAAUUACCUCUCCUUAAAUGUGUGAAAAAAGAGAAAUGAGCAGUUCAGAGCAUUUUUUUUCUUGAAACCAUUUAUAAACUUUAACUUUUGCUGUCAAGAUUUUGAAUGGGUGUGUAUGUGGUCACCAAAGCUUUAGGAUCCAGCCUCAAGUGGACAUUUAGGGAACUGCAGUUUUCAGCAUUUUUGCAUUAGCUUUUUUUUCCCUCAAAACUGCAGGUGUUGCCUGUUGGAAAAGAUGCUGCUAAAGCUGAACCACAGUGUGCUAAGAGGGACAAAAUACAUGUGUUUUCUUUUUCAAAGUCUGUUUUGGACCUUGAGCUCAUCAGUACUGCGGUAUUAAAGCUGUCUGUUUAUGUUCGACUCGUUGCUGUUUAUGGAACGGAUUUUGAGUAAUUGGCUGAAAAGUUGCACACAAAUACAUCUCAUGUUUUUUCUUUUCUAUAUGAAAAAUACUUUAAUCUUCUCAUUUUUUGGACUUUCAGUGACUGCAUGGCAGAAAAUUACAACAAAAGCAAAUCAGUACACAGAAAUAUGCUGCUCUAUUUGUCUCUCUCCCAUCCCUCUCUAAUAUGCAAAUCCCUCUCUUACACACUCACACAUACACACUCUUAAGACAUUAAGUCCUCAACCUGGACUAGGCCUGUGAGGGAUAUUGACAUGUACACGAGAUUGAUGAAAAUUACUUUGGGAGCAUUUAUUUCUUCUAAUACCACUGAAAGAAGAGUGUGCACUCAGGAGAUAUUUGAUCUGAAUUAGGGAAACUGAUGAAGCAAUUGAUUAAUUGGAAUUUAAGCCAUCAGUCACCGGAGCCAUCAGCAGCAUCAUUUACAUUCCAAACAAUCAGCUGAUGGCCCAAUAGGACACUGAGUAUUCAUACCAAAGAGUCAAUGCGAUACUGCCACGUCGCCACCAACCCGUAUUGACAGGAACAAUGACACUUUUAAUCCCCACUUGAUCAAAUGGCAUAUAUUUUGGGAUUUCCACAGCACUUCAAUAAAUCCUAUGAAUUUUUAAUCUGGUAGGAGGAGCAGAGGGACUAAACGAUAAAGAUUUAUCUUUUUUCUUUUCUCACAGUGAUCUAUGAUUACCAAUUACAAAUUCUCACCUUUUUCUGAUACAGCCAUUAAUUGUUUUUUUUAUACGGCCUGAGCCUUUCAAAUACACUCAAGUAUUCUGAUGUUAGUGGGCCGAGUGAUUCCCUUUUCAUGCAGCCAUCCUAUUUCAAAUGCUCUGUCGACUAUUGUUGAAACAAUGCAGACUGUUUUCAUACUAAUGAUGGUUAGGUUAAUUUGAUUACCUGAAGUGAAAAAACUAAGCUGAAUAGUUUGACUGGUUAUUGAAAACAUUCCUCUAACUACUGCCACUGUUUGCUAGAAUAUAUGUUAAAUAUAAUGUAUAGUGAUUGGGUGGCUAUCAGAACUCAGAGCCCUCUUAGCUUUGCAUUUGUGUCCGGCUUAUCCUGUUUUAAACAGCUUAAUAGUUUUUGCUUACAGUUAAAAACAAAAGUCCCUUUUGAUUCCCAGACAGUAAUGGGCUUUUAUGAGCCUUUUUACGGUAGUUAAUAUUAAACUAAACAUUUCAGUUUACAGUCAAGUUCAGGACCUCUGCUGGGAUGUAUGUAUCUGAUUUCAUUUUUAUUUCUGUCUUUAUUCAGCUCUCCCUCUUUGACUCUGCAGUUGUCACAUGUUUAAACAUAAAUUAUGCAAAUUUCAUAACUAUUUAUUUUGAAUCUUAACAUCCACCAAAAGCUUUAGUCUUGAUUAAAUAUGCAAACAGAAACUGACAUUUUACAACAGUGUUGACAGGCAGAGGUACAAAUGUUGAACCCCUUCAUAGAUGAUUUUCUAUUAAAAGUAUGAUCCUUUUUUCCCUCUUUGCUGUUAACAUUAAUUGUUGUUUUGGUAUAGGGUUUUGACCAAUCAGAAUGAGGCAUUUAUCACAGAAAUUAGUACUAAGGAGGGAAAUAAGUACAAAAGAAGUAAAAAAGUACAAUUACCUAAAUGAUGUUGCCUAGGUACAACUGCCAGUCUGUUAAUCUACUGACAUAAAAGUACUACUUACAUUUAGUGUAAUACUGAGAUUUUCCAUAAACAGGAUAUAAAACUUAUUUGAAGGAACUUAUUGAUCGAGCACUGGCUUGAAAUAUCUUGAAAUAAAAUACCCAUACCUGAAUCUGUAAUGCCUCUGUUGCUUCACGUUAUGUGAAAAUAGAUAGCUAUUUUGUUUAGAAAUAAGACAAGAUUUUAGUUUUUGCAGUAUACGGACACCAUCCAAUCAGCUGACUACCAUGCAGUAGAUGAAAAAGAUUGUGAGUGUGUAUUUUUAGCCGAUUUAUAUGCAGUGAAUUAAAUCAAAUCAAAUACCAUGCCUUGACCAGAAAAAGAAAAAAAACAACAAAACAAAACAAAUAACAAAAAAGACUAAGUAAAAGUUAAAAAAAAAACCCUCUCAAGUACUAAAAAAGCUUCUCAAUGACACUGGCUUAAGUAAACAAAACUCUCCACCCCUGCUUUUCAUCACUGCUUUUGGCCAAUAACACCAAUUUAAAUAUAUGCAAAUAUUGGAUAAGUUUUUCUCAAUUUAUUUGUGUAUACUGCUUGAUUGAUUGAUUUAUUUGAUCUAGCAUCAGACUUCUCUUGUCUUGCCACCUGACCUCUUUACAUUCAAACUUUGUGUUAAAUAUCACUCCCUCUGUUGAGCUUCUCUACAGUCUGUCUACAAACUUCACAACGACUAAAGUGACCCUGUAGAGUGUGAGCUCUUUGCCAAUUUUCAAUUACUGUUUAGUGACAUGCACACUUUCAUAUUUGGUAAAAACAAAGCAAAACAUUAUGAAUAAUACUGAGUGGCUGCAGGACUGAAAUAUGUAAUUCAAAGCUGUCACCUUCACAAAAGAAUAAUGAGGGAUUAUAGCAUAGUUUGGAAGAUGUUAAAUCUACUUUGGCUCACAUCCUGGAGAUCACAAGUUUUUGCUGGCACUGGCCUAUGAUGUCAUCAGUAAGGGCCCUUACCAGAAAGCUUUUGAUGCAUUAGCAGUGACAUACACUUUGUGAUUUAUUUUGACAUACACCCUAACAAGCUUAAAAUGUUCCCAAUAUAACAAUAUAAGACUGUAAAUACCCAUAAUCAGCUUUGGAAACUGAUACUUUCCAGCGAGGGCCUGCUACAAAAUAUCCCCAAAAAGUCAUGUAACAGGAAAUUCUUGGAAUAAAAAUAGAAACUAUGAAAACAUCAUGAAAACAACAAAACACAUCAUGAUCUAUGAGUCAGGCUGUGAGGCAUGAUGCUGCAACUCAUAAAAGGACAUGCACAACCUUUAGCUUAGUUUCAACAGACUACAAAUAGUUUUUGUCCUCAUGCUUUGGCACAAAUUCACAGACGCAAACAUGAAUUACAUGCCGGGCUAUAUGAUUCACAGAAGGCACUGAUUGUUCUUCCAAAGUGCCCAUUACAGAGGCCUAUCAUUGCAACAUCAAACCCUCCUUCCCAUUGACAGUGCUGACGUUUUCCCACUUGGCCUGAGCCCCCCUCUGACAGCCAAGCCAGUAAUGCCCCUCUACCCAUCCUCCUCUCCCCCAACCCCCUCCUCUCCCUUCUGCCUUUCACCGCUGCCCUCACUAUGUUUGAUUUUGCUGAAGAAGUUAGUCAUUAGUUGAAACAGCAAAGUGUUGUAAUGAAAUCUGCAGGCCACAUCAAUAGUGUUUACUGUUGCCAGUUUGCUUUGCUCCAUGCUUUUUUAAUUUAUUUGUUUGGUGUGCCGCCGUACGGCAUCGCUGUAAUGAUGUUCAUCCGCUGAUGUGUGAGAGUGCGCAACUUAACUCCAGGAAAUAUCUGCCUGCACGUGGAUCACAUAUCUGUAACAUUUAUGAGCUUCUCAGUGUGAAGCCUGCAGGUUAAUCAUUUAUCAACACCUCAUCAGAUCACGCUGAUGGAUCUUUCCAUAUAAAAGCACCUUCCUCUAGUUGGCAGAAAACUGGGAGAGGUUUUCUGCUCCAACUGUGUUCUUUCCACCACAACUCCAAGCUCUAAUUAAGUAGCCAGAGCACUAAGUAACACAGAAACAGCCAGCAGGAACUACAGGAGACAGGCUGCACAGCUACAGAGGCAGCAGCAGGCCCACUCGCUGCGCUGGUUUCCUCAGACGGGUGUCAAAACACCCCCGGUCUGCCUCCCAUCAACUCUCCCCCACAGAAAUAGGAAGUGAGCCACUGAAAGAGAAGAUUAAAGUUUUCUGGAAGUAUUGCUGGCAGCUGCACAUGCCCUAAAGAUAAACUUUAUCCGGCUGCAUGUGCAAAACUUUGCCGGAGCCAUUUGUCAUCUUCCAAAGUAAUACAUUUCUAAGUGGCUUGUGUUUGAGGCGGGAACAUGGGACGGCCACCGCUGUGUGGUCAGUGAGCGGGUCCGCUGUUAUGAUGCAGAGGAAGAAGUUGGAAUCAAAUGUGUGCAAGGAGAAAGAAAAAUGCUCUUGUUUGCCACUGUAUAUGUUUCUUGACUUACAUUAAUUCCCCCAAAGGAGCGUAGACCAAUCCCUCUGCACAAACAUUUUACCGAGGCCCGUCUCAGUAUCCAAAGCUGUGGAACUGACCCUUUGGACCCUUUUUCAAGAGAGACCUGUUCACUCACUUCCCAUUCCAACCGGUCCAACUAGUUUAAUCAUUCUACCUUUAGCUCAAAGCAUUCAAUAAGUCUAAUAAAAGGACCUUUUACUGCUUAUACCUUAAAGCUAUUACUUUAGGAUGGAAUUUGUUUUCCAAGUCACUGGCAGAAAACAAAGUUAUUUAUAGAUAUAUUGUACUUGAAUCAGAUUUAAACCCCAAAACUUAUACUCUUUGAAAUAUGUAAUCCAACAGUUCAGGAAAGUAAUGAAAGCAUUGUGUGUAUCUGCUGAUAAAUUUAGCUCUUUAAUACUUCUGGUCCUGUGUCUAAAAAGUAAGAUACCAACUAUAUACCAGUGUGAUCUACUGUAAAUACCAGUAUGAACUGCAAAAGCAAGCAGCCGACUUGCUACACUAAGGUGUGCCAGUCUUGCAGUGCAUCUUUUUAAUAUUUUUCUUCCUCACUGGGCCAAGAUCAUAUCUUUUAAAAAACAGUAAUGUGCUAAACCCUUCUCCUGUGUUAGGGUCUGCACCGACCCGUUUUUGUUUUUAAAUGCUUAAAAAAACCACAUAAAUUAGCUUUUUCGCAUCAAGACGUUUUGACUUUGUCAGCAAUCUCUAUUUCAACAAAAUAAGAAUUUAAAAAAUUAAGUUGACUAAAUUAUACAAUGUUCUUAUUAAAAUUAUGGCAUAUGUCAUGUUAGGGUUGCUGUUGACCUGGUUAGAUUAAAAAAAAAUCAAUAAUUAGAGCAAAAACUAAAAUCACACGUGCGAUGUCAGGCACCACACUGACAGUCAGAUCCUCUUUCAAUCAUGGGAGAUUUAGGAAAUUCUCAUUUUGCCUGUUUUUUUUUUUUUUUUUUUUCCUGCACAAUGCACAACGUCAGGCAUGUCAAGACUUGUGAGAUUUCUGUGUGAGGGGUAUACUGACAAAGAAAGGCCCAGAGGCCCACAACAAAAACUAUUAUAAGCAAUAUUUUUAUGGAUAAUGAAGCCUAACAAGGUAACCUAGAGAUGAGAACCAAACUGGAUAAUAGAGAAUUGUUUUAAGUUUAUUUUGCAGCUGAUUUAAGACAUGGGUCGAAACUGAACCAUUAACACAGUGGGUGCAUAGUAAAAGCUAACACAGGGGGAAGGUAAAAGUAAAUACACCUUGAGAGCAUUUCCUCAUUUUAGAACUAGUUGCCAGCAGAGUGGAUGGAGAUGGAUCUCAGCGAAUUGAUCAAAUGUAGAAGACCUGUUGCUUCCUUACAACUAUUAGCCUGGCCGUAGGCUGAAUUGGUGUUGUAAUGACUCACCAAACCUGAAUUUAAUCCUCAUUAUCUGUGUUAUUAUUUAUACCCAGUCAAGACCUGAAAAUAAAUGUAACAUUUAUAACAAACAGGGUGACUUUAAUCCAAGUCAAGUCAUGAGGCCUGAAAACUAGGACUCAAGUUGUCCAAGUCCUAGACUUGACAAAAAACUGACCAUGUUCUCUGUACUGGUGAGACAAAAAUUCAGGCAUCUUAUUUAUUUAUUUACAAUAUUUUUUUGCAUGACAGCUCAAUAUAUGCUCUCAUUGAGCAGUCACAAUGUACAGCUUUUUUUACUCUGCCCAACACACACACACAUGCACUUACACUCACAUGUGGACAAACACAUACACACACCCGGCCCUUGUGCCAGCUAGCCAUCUGGUCAGAACAUGAUCAUCAUAUGCAAUCUGCCCACCCAGGCUGGCACUGAUUCACCAGACCGACACUCCAAUUACCCUCAUCAUGCCAACACUUCAGCAGAACAGCAAACAGUGCACAGUGCACACGCUACAAUGGGACCCACCUGUGCAGGGGUGGAGCGACUGCCAGAGAGACUUGUAAAGAGGGGCCAGUGUAUGGUAUAUAAACUGUAACACUCUGCUGUAAAAUGACAUGCAUUCACAAAACAGUAUAGCAUUUGAUUAACCUUUUUUAUUGUGAAAAGGAAAACUAACAUGAUAUGUUUUAAGGGAGGGUUCAUCACUCUCCAAAUCAUCUGUCUUCAUCAUCACAAUGGAUUAGGGCUACAAGGUCGUGACCUUUGAGAGAUCAAUAAGCAAACACAGUCAAUGUCCACCCGGUGUGUGUGGGCUGCUGCUGCAAACAUAAAUGGAGAAAAGAAGCUUUCAUUUCAAACAAUCCAAGUAUACGGGGAAGUUUGCUCUGAAAUUAAGUGCAAAAGUUUCUAAAUGAUGGAUUGUGUCUCAUCAGUGAAAGCCUGACCGCUACUUCUGUGCCCCCUAUCAGCUGAUAAGCCCACCGGCUCAACAUUGAUCUAUCUCUCAGCCCAUCUCCCUUUUCUUAAUUUUAAUUUUCCCAUUCCUAACCCAUGCUAAUUCCUCCCUUCUGCUGUAUGAUCCAUAGAGCAGAGGCCUCGGCAGCACAGAGUGCCAGCAAGGGUCACUGUUAAUUAUAUCCAUUUAAUACCCACUUAUGUCUGCAGCGACGUCUUCCUCCUGGGGUCACGCAGACUUCGCCCUGCACUUUAUCCAAUAAUCUCACAGAAUAUAGGCUCGGAUAUUCCAAAAGAUCAAUGUCAUUAACAAGGAGGCACAGAAUGCAUUUGAUUAUAGAUGUAAUUAGUACAGGCUUGAGGGGACUUACCCCUAUACACAAAGAGGCAAAAUCCAUUUAGUAUCAAAAUUGCCUUAAAAAUGGACACCACUUUGAGAUCAUUUUUGCAACUGAUGACCGCCAUAAUGCAAUCAGUAUCUCUAAUGACAGAGAAUUAGGACUCAUAUACAUAAUACUUGUGUCUAACUUUGACUGAUAGAAAAGAGCAUUAAGUGUGGCUGAAAGCAAGUCAUGUUCCAAGUCGUGGUGAGAGGGUUCAAUUUACCGUCACCAGUCGCACUCUGUAAUGUUGGAUUGGGUGUUCGUCUGUUCUUUGCCAAUUUACCUGUGGAAAAAAAACUCAGCAAUCCUAUUGGGUGAGUGUCUCUGAGGACCUGUGAAAGGUGACACUGUGGAUGCUGCAUUAAGAGGAUGAGCUUUUAAUAAUUCUGUCACACGGCCGGGGAAUAUCAGGCCAGGAUCACUUUACAGCCCAACUCUGCUGAACAUCUCACCAUCUCUCCAAAUGAGAGGCCAGCCUCAUUAAAACUCUGUCCCCUGCUGACUUUAUCUCUGCGUCAUCAGAUCGCUCUUCUCUCCUCCAUUUCUUCCUCUCUUUUUUUGUGUCUCCAGCAUUGUCUCUGUCAGCUUUUUGAUAUCACAGACACACCUAGAGGCGUUGCUGUCCAUCAGAGAUGCGCCGGUGUCAAACAACCAGGUCAGCCACAACUUCAGCGAACAACUAACUAAGCAGUAACAGAUCAUUUUCAAACCUUCUCAUUCAGUUUUAGUUAUUUUUUGUGCACGUGUUAGUGACUAAUAACCUGCUCUGGUUAUCAAAUUAGAGAUCUAAGUUACUUUUUGUCACAAUAAGCUCUGCAGUUUCUUGCUAAUGUCUGUAAAAUAGCUACACAUCACUCUUCAAUGAGGGCAAUUUUGGCGUGCAGUGAAAACCUGUUGCAAAGGAUGUGAAAAAGAACAGACAAAAAACGACAGCAGCAGCAGGAGACUUAUUGUGGCUUGUAUUGGAUUGCAUUGGCCUGAAACUCAAGCCUAUGUGGUAACAGGGUACAGCCACUUAAGAUGGCAAGAUAGCGGUGAUGAUGGACAGUUUAAUCUUUUAUAUAAUAUCAUCAACUGGUUGUACUUUGUAGCACGAAGAAAGAGGAGGCUGAGCUUAAGUUUCCAAGUGUGUAUCCCUCUUUGAAAUGGUCACAAUGAAGUUAGAUAACCUCAUGAUGAUAGAAGAUUUUUUGGUCUUUUACUCAAUGCCAGAGGCUAAGGUAACUAAUAAUCACCGGCCCACAUGGUUCGAAUGUCGGAUCUCGUAUAAAUUUAUAGGCACGGACAUGCAGAGGGUUUACACGUGUUCUUUACAUGUUAACAAAACCUCCCAUACUUCAUCAAACAUCUCAUAAUACUCAAUUACAGGUCUGUAUACGUCCUGUAGAUUAGAGGACCUGAACACAGGAUGGAAAAAAGGAGGGGGAGGCCUGCUGCAUAACGUCUAGCUGAUUUUUCUUUAUAGUCGACUACUUAACCGCUGUAAAUGCACACAUGCAUAAAUCCUUCUCUGUUUUCCAUCAAGCUGCUGUGUAGUGGCUAUGUUAAAUGUAGGUGGUAAGCUCAUAUAUCUAAUUAUACAAUAGCCAAACAUUUUUUGUUAAUGAAAUGGAAGGAGUGUAAUUGAAAACUUCGGCAUAAUUAUUGCUUGGUGAGUAACCGGCUUCGGAAAAUUGUACAUGUAGGAAGAGGACUCAGCAGGGGGACCUAUGACUUAUGAAUGCAGCCAUUUCAAAAAUCUUUACGGAGCACAUGUGCACUUGUAUGCGCAGACCCUCACACUUUAUAAUCAUUAUUAUCUCAUGGAUAAACAGGCAGCUCAAAACAGCGACAUUACAAACACUUUAAAAGAGAAAUGCAUGCUUUCCUUUUGCAUAAACUUUUAGUUCGCCUCAUUUACUAAAAAGGCAAAACACAUUAUCCUGAUUGCCUUUAAAAAAUUCCCCUUAAAAGCGAGAAAUGAGAGUGUGUUUUUUUUUCUAUGUGCAGAGUGUGUCAUGAGUUAAAAAAGGUAAGGGUAUGGAUAGCUUGGGACAUCACCUCAUAGGUUCUUACGCAGAGAAACCAGAGCAGCCAAGACACAUAAAGCCAGGUCAGAAGAGCUUGGCAGCCACGCUAACAAUGUUUGUCACAACUGCCCUCUUUCCAUCCCAAGCUCAAAUGAGAGAAGUCAGAGAAAUAUGGGAUUACCAUGAGUUAUUUAUGACGCUGAAACCCAAGAGCCCCCUUUAUGAAAUCAUCUCUGCUGAUUGGGUUUUCUUUCGUGGGACAGCAUCUGAUAUGAUUUCAAGUGGAUUGACAUCAAAGUAGCUGGUGUAAAGUAUGAGUAGUUUUGCACACAUUCAAUCAAAAUACAGAUCUUUAUCGGCAUCACACUGAUUGACAUGAGCGGACUGUUGUGAAAUAGAUACUGCAGCUGUCAUAGUCAUUAUGGAUUUUUCUGUUCAAAGAUAGAGCCAAAGGGGAAGCAGGAGGCAUUUAAACUGAAAUGUGCUUCAGUCAGGAAAUGGGCAGUGAAUCCAGAGACCUUAAGAGAAAAGAAAAGCCUUUUGAAAGUGUACCUUUCAUACAUCUCUUGAAGUAAAUCAACAUUUUAGUGCUGAAACUAAGCUCAUCCAAUAGAAGAAUACACAUACAGCAUAAUUGUCGACAUUUACACUGUGUCACAGGACUGGUACACGUGAAACUUUUACAGCUGUAGCAAUAGAACUGCAAUCUUGGUGAUGCUGUUACUCAACAACCAGGUUCAGAAAACCACACCAAGCUAAGGACUGCACAAGGAUGCAAUCAAUGGCAGUCCAUACUUAAUGAACUUUCUGACCUUUAAGAAAAUGUACACUGCUUAACCAGAUUCUGUGUAUUUAAUAAUUCAGUUAGAGAGCAAGAGAGCUUAAUAGAGGAGCAUCUCUCACCCAAUAUAGUCAGGGAUAUCAUUUUGUCCUGAGACAACAGCUGACGUUAUAUUGCUUGGGCCAAGAGAAGAAAAAAACUCAUUAUGGAGACAUCCAUUUGUGUGGGUUUUAAUAAAAAAGACAGAAUGAAUCUCAGGCCCUGGACUAAUGGGAAAAUCUAUGCAGACAUCUAAACUCCCAAAUGAGGGUCCGGGACAUUUGCAGUCAUUAGUGCAGAGAUUGUGGUCAGUAAAGUGCAUUUACAUGUAUGGACAUUUCUUUAAAGAAUAUGCUCCUACGUAACAGAGAGAGGAGAGGAAAAACGACAGUAGCUUGAUCUGCCAUUGAGAUGUUCUGAAUGGGAGAUCAUAGGUGCAUUAUUGAUGAGUCUCAGUUUGAGUUUCAGCUCCAGAGGAAAUGAUAAGGUGUAAUGCAAUGGUCUACUGUGAUCAUGGACGGCUUCGUCCUACAUACUGUAUUGCAGGCUGCUAAUGUGGUAACCUGGUGCACUAUUAUGCACCUUUUCAGACUGCAGUGAAAGCAGUCUUUAGCUAGUGUGUUAAAUGAGGAGAGACCUCAGCCUGUCAGAUGCGGGUCUUUUACAUUGAAAUCCAGUCUUUUACAGAUCACUCUCAACUUUUCUGGCAUAUAUGCAAACUGGUUAAGAUUCACAACUCCAACAAUUUAGUAAACCACCAGUUGGUCAUCUUCUGCUGUCUGGUUUAAGCAGUCAAAUUAUAUUCAUCUUGGGAUUUCUGAAAGACUUAAGGAAAGCAGUUUUAACAUUUAAAGCAGAUAUCCAUAACGCUCCUCAUUAGGGAUGGGAACUGGUAAGUUUCUGCUUAUCGAUUCAAUUCUUUAACAAUUCCCUUAUCAAGGCCUUACUUUGAUUUAAAAAAAAAAAAAAAAGAAGUAGACUAAAGGUUUUCACUGUUAACUCAAAAUUUUAUUGAAUCUCUGAUAACAGAAAAAGAUGUAUGCCAUGCUUUGCCGCAAGUGUGAAUGGGGUUUGCUGCAGGUCAACAGUGGGGCUAGCAACAUUAGCCAGAGAGCUAACACUGCCAGGAGAAGCAGCAGAUGCACUCGGUCCACUGUCGCUAUCAUCUAAAAAUAAUCAAACGGCUAUAAACUAUUUGUACAGCAUUUACUUUGGUCGGUAUUAAGUCAAACACAUAAUACGUUGUUAAGUCUGGCAUGCAUUGUGCUAAUGUUAAUACAGGACAUACCUAUGACCCAGAGCAGCAGCGGCUGACACCCAGAGGAAAGGAAUCAUUAAUGGAAUCAUUGAGAUAAAACGUAAACAAUGUUGCUGGAUUGAACCAUUCGGAACCGGUUCUCGACAAGAACCAGUUCUCGAUUCCCAUCCUUACUCUUCAUGGUAUAAAAUGGUUCUUUUUUUAACAGACACAGCUGUAGCUCAGUGGUGGAGUCUCUGAAUAAGAAGGUUGGGGGGCAAUCCCAGCCCCUGCUGUCACAUGCUGAAGUGUCCUCGAGUCAAGCACUGCACCCCAAACUUGUCCAGCUGUAGAAACAGAGGAGUGUGUGAAAACAUGUGAAUGAAAUUAUUUAAAUUUGAUUGUCCCAGAGUUUAGCAGCCUCUGCUAUCAGUAAAUUAACGUAAUGUGAAUGGGUGAAUGUGACAAGUAGCGUAAAAGCACUUUGAGUGGUCAGAAAGACUAGAAAAGUGCUACAUAAGUCCAAUUACCAUCAGUGAUAACUGUUAUCUAAUGUAUCCACAAUGACAGUCUUCCUUAAAGAAAUGAAGUGACUUUUACUAUUCACAUGUAUUGGGUCUUCAAUUUCAGAUAUCCACAGCUUCAUUCUAAUAAUCCAAAAUAAACAUUGUGGAAAAUUAACAAAUAAAUCAUUUUGGGAGAAAACAGAUAUCUACAGUUCUGCUGCUGCUACUUUUAAGUUGGCUAUUUGAGAUGGUUUUUCUUUAUUUCUAUUUUAUCUUUUUGUAAAUAUGUUUCAUCUUGUUUAGCCAUUGGUGGUGGUUAGUACUGUGGCCUUACAGCAAGAAGGUUUCUAGUUUGAAUCCACGGCCAAGCAUGGGCCUCUCUGCAUGGGGUUUGCAAGUUCCCCCGUUCUGUGAGUUCUUUCUGGGUACUCCGGCUUCCUUCCAUGGUCCAAAAGCAAGAUCAUUCGAUUAAUUGCCCUUAAGUGUGAAUGCGUGUGGUGGACUGUCGGCAUGUCUAGGAUGUACCCAACCUCCUGUCCAAUGACAGCUGAAAAAGGCACUAACCCCUGUGACCAUACACAGAAUAAUCAGGAAAGAUAACGUUAAGACAGUCCAGCUAUUAAAUGUUAUUGGCUGUUGUUCAGACAUCUAGAGGGAUCUCAGAGAAGAGCUUUGACUUUUCCUUGCCAUGAAAGGAACCAGCUGUAGUGGCUUGGGACACUAAUUAAGAUGUUUCCUGAACACCUAUCUUUAGAUGUUUCAACUGAGGAGAUCCAAGGUCAGACCCAAAGCUUGGCAGCCUGGGACCACCUCUGAUUUCUCCAAAAGGAUUUGGAAAUGUUGCUUAAGAGAGGGAUGAUCGAGUAAACUUGCUUUGCCUGCUACCACCAAAUCUCAACCCUGAAUAAGCUGAAGGAUACAGAUGGAUGGAUGGAUGGAUGGAUGAAUGGAUGGAUGGAUGGACAUUGCUGGAUAGAUGGAUGGACUGUCAAAGUUGAAUAGGUCUAUUACCCCAUAAAAAUUGUAAAAUAACGAUCUCAAAGUGCUCACAUUCUCAGCUUUAGGCACUAACUAUCAGUGGACAAUACUGUUAGGUCUAGGAUGACGGCCAAGUUUUGGGAGCUAAGGGUGCAGCCUUUGGUAGAAGUAAAGGACUUCCAGCCCAAACACUCUUUCCAAUGUGUUUCCAUGUCAGCAGUCUGACUAGCAGCUGUGAAGAAAAGAGUGUUUUUUGGUGCUGAGAGACAUAGUCUCAGACCAGAUCUUUGGCUGCACAGUAUAUAUAGAUGCCUGUUUGUAAAGGCCUUAGAUAGGUCAAGGUUUUGUCAAUCGGUAGCCAGUGAGAUCUAGGAUUACACCAGAGUGAUCUGACUGUCAUAGCGAACUGAAGUGCUAAACUUCAACUACCUAAAAUGAUGUCAUCUUUAGAUUUUGUAUCAAUGCACAAAAACUGUAAAUAUAGAUCAAUCAGAGCUAGCAUGGGCAGUUCUCCAAGGCAGAUACAUAAAGCCUUUUGAGACAGUCUCCAACAGCUUCUGUUGGACAAAAUAACUGCCCAGUAAAGUAAAGUAUAUAUGAAAUGAAGAGGACGGGGGAAAACAAUCUGCCUCCUUAGCCAACUUGAUUGUUAUCGCACAGUGCUUACAGUGUUUUCAGGGCCUGCACAUGUAAUCAAUAACCCCAGGCAAUUUUAAGCGUGAUCAGUUUGGAUGGAUUAUUGCCUGGCAGGAAGGCUUUUACAUCGAUCCUCUCAUCAUGUCAAUCACAGACAGUGACAACUCUGAACUCUUUAGAUCCCAUACAUCAGCAAGUACUGCUCCCUAUCUGGCUGCAUCAAAAAAAAAACAGUACGAGUCAAGAGAGUAAGACAUGCUGAGGAUGGAGUUCCUGUUUUUAAUGCAACAUCUAAUGUGCUGUGUGAUAGGAGGCCUACUUUUUGUAUUUGAGUGUUUUUCUUUUCUUCCCAGUCCUGACAUUUCCUGACACCAGUCUUAAAUUUGAUCAUUAAAAAAUAACAUCUGAAUGAUCCGUUACACAUGUUAGCAUUUGAUUUCAGCACCAACAGAAAAAAAGGCACC